rnacentral:rRNA from 1 species
UACGUAGGGUGCGAGCGUUAAUCGGAAUUACUGGGCGUAAAGCGUGCGCAGGCGGUUUUGUAAGACAGGCGUGAAAUCCCCGGGCUUAACCUGGGAACUGCGUUUGUGACAGCAAGACUAGAGUACGGCAGAGGGGGGUAGAAUUCCACGUGUAGCAGUGAAAUGCGUAGAUAUGUGGAGGAAUACCGAUGGCGAAGGCAGCCCCCUGGGUCGAUACUGACGCUCAUGCACGAAAGCGUGGGGGGGAGCAAACAGGAUUAGAUACCCUGGUAGUCCACGCCCUAAACGAUGUCAACUAGGUGUUGGGGAAGGAGACUUCUUUAGUACCGCAGCUAACGCGAUAAGUUGACCGCCUGGGGAGUACGGUCGCAAGAUUAAAAC